ensembl:lncRNA
AUGGUACCGCUCCAGCACUGGCUUCAUGGCCAAGUCCCGAGGUGGGCGUGGAAGCGUGGCCUGUCGCCAAAACCUCACGCCGUGGUCAGAUUUUGCGUUCCUCUGGGCAGGAGUGCCCCUAGAGCAGAUCUCCAGGCAUGCUGUGGUUUACACGGAUGCCUCCACCACCGGCUGGGGGGCCACGUACAACGGACAUGCAGUCUCAGGGGUUUGGACGGGCCCGCAGCUGCACUGGCACAUCAAUUGCCUAGAGUUGUUAGCAGUGUGCCUUGCCUUGAACCAUCUCAAAGGUCACUUACGAGGCAUGCACGUGCCGGUCCGAACAGACAACACAGCAACCGUUGCGUACAUCAACUGACAAGGUGGUCUGCGCUCCCGUCGCAUGUCGGUACUCGUCUGCUGCCUCCUCCUUUGGAGUUGGAAGGUUCUGAGGUCACUUUGUGCUGUUCACAUUCCUUUUUAAUUAAGAAUAACAAUGAAUCAAUCUUUUGUUUUAGCUUGUUCUGUAACACUUCGAUUGAUGGCAUUGGGACAUGUUGGCCCAGGAGCAGUGCUGGAGAAGUGGUGUCCCGUCCCUGUCCAGAGACCUUCCUCGGAGUCCGUUACAACACAACCAAUAACGUGUACAGAGAAUGCCUUGCCAAUGGCACCUGGGCGAAGAAGGGAAACUACUCCCAAUGUCAGGAAAUCCUCAACGAGGAGAAGAAGAGCAAGCUGCAUUACCACAUUGCAGUCAUCAUAAACUACCUGGGACAUUGUAUCUCUCUGGGAGCCCUGCUGGUCGCCUUCAUCCUCUUCAUGAGACUCAGGAGUAUCCGGUGUCUGAGAAAUAUCAUCCACUGGAACCUGAUUACAGCAUUUAUCCUGCGAAAUGCCACCUGGUUCGUGGUGCAGCUCACUAUGAACCCAGAGGUGCAUGAGAGCAAUGUGAUCUGGUGCAGGCUGGUCACAGCAGCAUAUAAUUAUUUCCAUGUGACCAACUUCUUCUGGAUGUUUGGAGAGGGCUGCUAUCUGCACACAGCCAUAGUACUGACAUACUCCACCGACAAACUGAGGAAAUGGAUGUUCAUUUGUAUAGGCUGGUGUAUUCCAUUCCCCAUUAUCGUCGCUUGGGCCAUUGGCAAGCUGUACUAUGACAAUGAAAAGUGCUGGUUUGGGAAGCGGGCCGGCAUUUACACUGAUUAUAUUUAUCAGGGGCCCAUGAUCCUGGUCCUGCUGAUUAACUUCAUUUUUCUCUUCAACAUUGUGAGGAUCCUGAUGACUAAACUGAGGGCCUCCACUUUUUUUUAUUUUUAUUUUUAUCCUACUGAGAAAGCAGUAAAGGCCACACUGGUUCUUCUGCCGCUGCUGGGCAUCACUUACAUGCUGUUCUUCGUCAACCCAGGCGAGGAUGAGAUCUCACAGAUUGUCUUCAUCUACUUUAAUUCUUUCCUAGAGUCCUUUCAGGGCUUUUUUGUGUCAGUGUUCUACUGCUUUUUGAACAGUGAGGUACGCUCAGCCGUUCGUAAGCGGUGGCACCGCUGGCAGGAUAAGCACUCCAUUCGGGCACGGGUGGCACGGGCCAUGUCUAUUCCCACCUCUCCAACACGGGUCAGUUUCCACAGCAUCAAGCAGUCGUCGGCAGUCUGA